AUACGGAGGGUGCGAGCGUUAUCCGGAUCUAUUAGGUUUAAAGGGUGUGUAGGCGGGAGCCUAAGUCAGUGGUGAAAUCUCACAGCUUAACUGUGAAUCUGCCAUUGAAACUGGGUUUCUUGAGUAUAGUUGAGGUAGGCGGAAUGUGUAAUGUAGCGGUGAAAUGCAUAGAUAUUACACAGAACACCGAUUGCGAAGGCAGCUUACUAAGCUAUUACUGACGCUGAUGCACGAAAGCGUGGGUAGCGAACAGGAGUAGAAACCCCGGUAGUCC
rnacentral:rRNA from 1 species